UACGAAGGGGGCUAGCGUUGCUCGGAAUCACUGGGCGUAAAGCGCACGUAGGCGGAUUGUUAAGUCAGGGGUGAAAUCCUGGAGCUCAACUCCAGAACUGCCUUUGAUACUGGCGAUCUUGAGUCCGGGAGAGGUGAGUGGAACUGCGAGUGUAGAGGUGAAAUUCGUAGAUAUUCGCAAGAACACCAGUGGCGAAGGCGGCUCACUGGCCCGGUACUGACGCUGAGGUGCGAAAGCGGUGGGAGCAAACAGGG
rnacentral:rRNA from 1 species